GCAGGUGUAGCUCAAUGGUAGAGCAUGUGCCUAGCAUACAUGAGGUCUUGGGUUGGAUCCCCAGCACUGCA
rfam:Heterocephalus glaber contig177778, whole genome shotgun sequence.